rnacentral:sRNA from 1 species
AAAAAUGACUAGUAAUUUCAUGAGAUUAACUAUCAAAAUUUUAUGAGUUUUUGUAUAUUAAUGAACAUAAAAUAUAAUAAGAAUUUAAGAAAUUGUUAGGAAUGCCCAUCCAAGGCUACCCCUUUUAAAUUCCACCCCUUCUGGUAAUUUAUUUUCAUUUAUACACUUUUUAAUUUUUAAUGAAAAUUUUACACCUAUUUGAAAAUGUUUUAGGUUAACAUAAUGAAAUAGUGAUUUUUUCUGCCAAGAAUAUUCCGAAGAUACUUUUUCCGCUAAAAAUAUUCUGACGAUAUUUCUUAUUUAAUUGUAUAUAAAAAGAUAGGUUGAACUUCCUUGCCUUGUUAAAAAAGCUUCAGAAGCCAUUAUCAUGAAUUAAAACAUAGGAGUUCGUAAACAAUACCACCUCUCUCUACUAAAAUUUUAAAAGCAGAUAACAUAUGCUCUUUUUGUCUGGCCUCAUACCUAGUGCAUAAUCCACAUCAUUUCACAAAAGGCAAACCUCGUGCCCACAUUAUUGAUGCACCAGAAUAUGUAUCAUGCAUACGUUUAACACCAUGUGAGCCCAAGAUUGACAACACAUACUGAAACUUGCCAAGCUUUCUGAAUCUAGCAAUAGUUGAUUUUGUAUGACAUUUCUAUUGGGAGAUCGAUGAGAUCGACCUAAACCGAGUCGAAACCGAUAGAGAUUACAAACCAAAAUCAAGAUAUGAUUAUGGAAAUAUUGUGGAUUGUCAAUAUCCGAGUUUAGUAAAUUUGAUAUUAUGUCCAAUUAUAUUAUUUACAUUGUGGAUUGUCAAUAUCUGAGUUUAGUAAAUUUGAUAUUAUGUCUAAUUAUAUUAUUUACAUUAGAGUUUAUCAUUUUGAUGAAACUUAGAUUUAUUUUAUCUUUAUAUAAGACAAUAAAUCUUGCAUCUUUAUUAUGAUAAUAGUCUAAUAUAAUUCUUCCUAAACACUUUUGUGUUCUUUACUCUCAUCAAUUUAUCGGUUACUAAAAUUAUCUUAACCCAUAAUAAGAUGGUUGUUAUGAAUAUAUUGUUAGAAGUUAAAGCAUGUUAGGUAGAUUGCUUGUAUCUAAGACCAUCUUCAUUGGGAGUAUCUCAAUAGAGUUUCUCAUAAUAAUAAAAGUGUAAAUAAUAAAAAAGAAAAAGAGAGAGUGUAGAAAGUUUCUCAUAUGAGAAACUCUUAGAUACUCUCUCUAUCUAAUGAUAACAUUUCUUUCUAUAACAUUGGUUCAUUUUUAUAAAAAAAAUUAAAAUUUAAUCAUAUAGCUAAAUUACAAUAAAAUACUAAAAAAAAGUUUUUUUGAAAACCUUGUUGAGUUUCUUAUUGAUGGAGAUGCUCUAAGGUUGUGUGUUAUGAUGAUUGUUGUAUAGCUUAAGAAAUUGUUCUAUGUUUCGUUCACUGAGUAACCCCCUUUUUCCCCUUCUUUACGAGGUGAAGAUGAUGUUGAAUAGCUGUUCAAGCUUGUCUCUCUUCAUGGUGUUCUUUGGGAUUUGGGUUUAUUUUUCAAUAAUACAAAGACAUAGUUUUUCUUUAAAUUUCUUUAAUUAUUUUUACGAGUUUUCGGUGUUACUUUUAUGAAUUUACUAAGAAUGCUUCUUGAACAAGGUGAAUGUGAAAGUGUUAAGGAGAAAUAAUAAGUAUGGAAUAAUGUUUUCUAGGAAAAGUGGUACGCCUUUUCAGUAUGAAUAUGUUACUUAAGACAAGUUAUUUUUAUAAAUUUAAUAAGAAUGCUUCUUGGAUAAGGUGAAUGUGAAAGUGUUAAGGAUAGAUAAUAAGUACCGAAUAAUGUUUUCUAGGAAAAGUGGCACGCCUUUUCAGUAGUUUGGGAGGAGGUGUUACAUACCGCCUCAUAUUCUUGCCACCAAUCGUCAUCCAUACCGAUAACUCCAGUUCUGCGAUCCGAACUUACACUUGUUUUAUCCAUUAAAUCUACCUAUUCUUUGUAAUUUUCCUUCAAUGUAUCUAUCUUGUUUUUAGCCUUUAUCCAACUAUUAACAUGUUUUUUUGUCCUCUUUAAUAGUUCGCUCAUAAUACGAUUUCGAUAUGGUAUAUUUAGACCAUAUGUAUUAUAGUCUACUUUAACAAGCUCGGCUUCAUAUAGUUCAAGCACAAUAUUCUCUUCAGAAGGCGACCAAUAUUCUUUCUAAAAAAUAUGAAAAUAUUUAAAUGUAUAUAUAUAUAU